AUUGAACGCUGGCGGCAUGCUUUACACACGCAAGUCGAACGGUAACAGGUUAAGCUGACGAGUGGCGAACGGGUGAGUAAUGCAUCGGAACGUGCCCGGUCGUGGGGGAUAACGCAGCGAAAGCUGCGCUAAUACCGCAUACGCUCUGAGGAUGAAAGCGGGGGACCGUAAGGCCUCGCGCGCUCGGAGCGGCCGAUGUCAGAUUAGGUAGUUGGUGGGGUAAAGGCUCACCAAGCCGACGAUCUGUAGCUGGUCUGAGAGGACGACCAGCCACACUGGGACUGAGACACGGCCCAGACUCCUACGGGAGGCAGCAGUGGGGAAUUUUGGACAAUGGGCGCAAGCCUGAUCCAGCAAUGCCGCGUGCAGGAAGAAGGCCUUCGGGUUGUAAACUGCUUUUGUACGGAGCGAAAAGGCUCUCUCUAAUACGGAGGGCUCAUGACGGUACCGUAAGAAUAAGCACCGGCUAACUACGUGCCAGCCGCCGCCGUAA
rnacentral:rRNA from 1 species